UCAACCCAAAUGCCCGACAUUAGUUUUUGUCCGCCCACCGCCCGGGUUGUCCUAUAGUGGUUUAUUUUACCUACGUGUCGAAUUGGCUUCCGAAUUUUUUCCUCCUGUUUUUGUUUGAGGUAUGUACCUUCAUUGAUUACCAACAUAUUUUGCGAAAUCCGCGUUAUUUCAAUUAGGUACCAGUUUUCCACAGUGGUACACAGUAUAUACCGUUAAAAGUGAUUUAUAUUAUGCACAUUGGCGGAUAAUUUAAAUAUAUCUUUGAGAACCGCUAUAUUAUACCGUUAAAAAUUUCAUCGGGAGCUGAUUUAUUUAAGGGCCAAUUUCGUGUAGUUUACUUAAGGGGAAAUCUUUUGCUUACCUCCCCGGACGGUCACGCGUCGAAACAACCCUCCCUUGAGUACCCGCGACGACAAACGUAUCCGCUAAAAAAUUCAUAAUAUUAUAUUAUUAUUAUAAAAAUGGCGAUCAGUCUUAUUAUAUCAGAACAAAAAAAAAAAAAACCAAAUAAACGAACGAAACACUGCCGAUCACAAUAUUGCUCGUUAAUCCUUAUUGAUAUUUUAUAAAAUAUAUAAAUGGCGUUACGAAUUUUUUAUGUUUUUGUUGUUAUCAUUUUUAUAUUUGACCGUUCGCCAGCUA